ensembl:antisense Gm10550 predicted gene 10550
GAGGAAGAACUGCAAACCCAGGCACUACCAAUCCUGUGACAUGCAAGAUUCCUGAGUUGUGCAGUGACACUUGGCAAGCGAAAGGAGACCCAAGACUACAGGACUCUCUGAUGGUCUGCUGCUGAACAAUGACCACUGAGAGCAAGCACAGGAAAUGUGGAGCCCAGAGAGACCUGACACACAGCAGGAGAACCUCUCCUAUUCAGCCCUCUUUCGGUCCAUGGGCUCACGAGGGACAGACGGCCUCUCUCGCGUGUGCUUGGAGGAGAAACUAUAUGAAUGAAGUGAGCCAAUGAACUUGCAAGCUCCAGAUCCCGGAGGUGUGAAGUCGUCCAUAGAAAUGCCGCUCUUGUCUGCCCCCUCAGCGUCGGUGGAGGAAGAGGCCUUCUGGUGGUCAGCCUCUGUAGCAGACGCUUGUGCCUCUUCCUGGCCUCUGGCCAAUGGGGCAGCCGGGUCAUCUCCUGGAGUUUUUUCCAGAGACUGACCCUGCUCCUGGCUGACAGCACCUGGGGUGACCUUGGGGGCUGCAUCAUCUUGUAGAGAAGCUCGCUUCAACUUUCGGGACUCUGGCUUGGCCAUCAAGUUAUCACUUGAAGACAGUGAAGAUCCUAUGGUUCCUUUCCCUGUCUCUGCGCUUGUGUGGCCCCUCAUGGCCGCUGUGGUCUUUCUCCUAGCAUGGCCAUGUCCUCCAGCCCCCCUCUUCUUCUCUGACAGGUGGAAAAUAGAGGGUACAGCCGUGGGCUUCAGCAGGCGAUGCUGGUCCUCCAGUCUUUUGGAGAAGCUGUCUUUGGUAAAAUGCUCACUACAGAGGAAUGAAUACUUAGUCGGGGUCCAAUUAUCCCUCUGAACAGCUUUUAACCACUGGAUCAGUCGUUUGGAGUCCUUUAGGGGAAACCUUCAAGACAAAUGACAAAGUACUUAGAAAUAUUGACAUGCAUUCUUCUAAAACUAUCAUCAAUAAAAGCAAAUCAAGUAUUUCUGC